rnacentral:rRNA from 1 species
UGGGGAAUAUUGCACAAUGGGGGAAACCCUGAUGCAGCCAUGCCGCGUGUGUGAAGAAGGCCUUCGGGUUGUAAAGCACUUUCAGCGAGGAGGAAGGGAUAGUAGUUAAUACCUGCUAUUUUCGACGUUACUCGCAGAAGAAGCACCGGCUAACUCCGUGCCAGCAGCCGCGGUAAUACGGAGGGUGCGAGCGUUAAUCGGAAUUACUGGGCGUAAAGCGUACGCAGGCGGUCAUUUAAGUCAGAUGUGAAAGCCCCGGGCUCAACCUGGGAACUGCAUUUGAAACUGGAUGACUAGAGUGCGACAGAGGGUGGUAGAAUUUCAGGUGUAGCGGUGAAAUGCGUAGAGAU